AAGCUCGUAGUUGGAUUUCUGUUAAUAAUUUAUAUAAAAUAUUUUGAUGAAUAUUUAUAUAAUAUUAACAUAAUUCAUAUUACUAUUUUUUUUUUUAGUAUAUGAAAUUUUACUUUGAGAAAAUUAGAGUGCUUAAAGCAGGCAUAUGCCUUGAAUACUCCAGCAUGGAAUAAUAUUAAAGAUUUUUAUCUUUUUUAUUGGUUCUAAGAUAAGAAUAAUGAUUAAUAGGGACAGUUGGGGGCAUUUGUAUUUAACAGUCAGAGGUGAAAUUCUUAGAUUUGUUAAAGACAAACUAAUGCGAAAGCAUUUGCCAAGGAUGUUUUCAUUAAUCAAGAACGAAAGUUAGGGGAUCGAAGACGAUCAGAUACCGUCGUAGUCUUAACCAUAAACUAUGCCAACUAGAGAUUGGAGGUUGUUCCUUACUCCUUCAGCACCUUA
rnacentral:rRNA from 1 species